rnacentral:rRNA from 1 species
ACUCCUACGGGAGGCAGCAGUAGGGAAUCUUGCGCAAUGGGCGAAAAGCCUGACGCAGCGACGCCGCGUGCGGGAUGACGGGCCCUAGUGGUUGUAAACCGCUUUUCAGCAGGGACGAAAAUGACGGUACCUGCAGAAGAAGUCCCGGCUAACUACGUGCCAGCAGCCGCGGUAAUACGUAGGGGACAAGCGUUGUCCGGAUUCAUUGGGCGUAAAGAGCUCGUAGGCGGUUCAGUAAGUUGGGUGUGAAAGCUCCGGGCUCAACCCGGGAUGAGGCCACUCAAUACUGCUGUGACUAGAGUCCAGUAGAGGAGCGUGGAACUCCUGGUGUAGCGGUGAAAUGCGCAGAUAUCAGGAAGAACACCGGCAGCGAAGGCGGCGCUCUGGGCUGGUACUGACGCUGAGGAGCGAAAGCAUGGGUAGCAAACAGGAUUAGAUACCCUCGUAGGCUCUGCU